UGCAGUACAUGCGACUGGCGGAUUGGUGGAGCACCACAGGGAGCAUGUAUGAAGAAAGCCGGCCGCCUGGGUACCCGUA
rfam:Lachnospiraceae bacterium 3_1_57FAA_CT1 genomic scaffold acsNT-supercont1.1, whole genome shotgun sequence.